rnacentral:rRNA from 1 species
UACGUAGGGGGCAAGCGUUGUCCGGAAUUAUUGGGCGUAAAGAGCGUGUAGGCGGUCCGGUAAGUCAGCUGUGAAAGUCAAGGGCUCAACCCUUGAAAGCCGGUUGAUACUGUCGGGCUAGAGUCCGGAAGAGGCGAGUGGAAUUCCCGGUGUAGCGGUGAAAUGCGCAGAUAUCGGGAGGAACACCAAUGGCGAAAGCAGCUCGCUGGGACGGUACUGACGCUGAGACGCGAAAGCGUGGGGAGCAAACAGG